rnacentral:lncRNA from 1 species
GCGGGGAGCGGAUUGGUCGGAAAGUAGGUUAGUGGUGCGACAUUUAGGGAAGGCAGAAAGUAGGUCAGGGACGGAGGUGCCUGUUUACCCGCGCCGGACUCACCGCCGCCGCCGCCGCGGGAUCCGAGUGGGGGCGCGGACGCGGGCGCUCCCGCGAGCCACGGUGGUGCUGGCUAGAGUGCACACUUUUGGACCCAAACUUAAAUUUUCAAAUGUGGAAUCCUAGGACUUCACUGCCUUCUACCCCUCCUUUUCUCACCAGCGCGAGUUCAUCCAUCUCAAGCACAGUUAACCUGACGAGCAUCCUGAGUGUUUUUCAGAUACGGAGCUCAUUCAGUCUGUGAGGAGGCAGCCUCCUCCUGUUACAGGUGAGACACUGCCGCUCCCAGAGGUCAGGGAACUGGCCCAGCACACACACCCUGUAGGUGGCAGAACUGGGAUUU